rnacentral:rRNA from 1 species
CCUACGGGAGGCAGCAGUGGGGAAUCUUGCGCAAUGGGCGAAAGCCUGACGCAGCCAUGCCGCGUGAAUGAUGAAGGUCUUAGGAUUGUAAAAUUCUUUCACCGGGGACGAUAAUGACGGUACCCGGAGAAGAAGCCCCGGCUAACUUCGUGCCAGCAGCCGCGGUAAUACGAAGGGGGCUAGCGUUGCUCGGAAUUACUGGGCGUAAAGGGAGCGUAGGCGGAUAGUUUAGUCAGAGGUGAAAGCCCAGGGCUCAACCUUGGAAUUGCCUUUGAUACUGGCUAUCUUGAGUGUGGGAGAGGUAUGUGGAACUCCGAGUGUAGAGGUGAAAUUCGUAGAUAUUCGGAAGAACACCAGUGGCGAAGGCGACAUACUGGCCCAUUACUGACGCUGAGGCUCGAAAGCGUGGGGAGCAAACAGGAUUAGAUACCCUGGUAGUCCACGCUGUAAACGAUGAGUGNUAGUUGUCGGCGAUGCAUGCAUGUCGGUGGUCGCGAGCUACGACAUAAGUACGACUCCGCCGUCGGGGUAGGGUACGGUCGGCGAAGAAGUUAAACGUUAACUUAAAUAGUUAAGUUAGUACGGCGUUGNGACGNGCGACGGACGACGACGAGGGAGGAGG